rnacentral:misc_RNA from 1 species
GAUGAAGAACGCAGCGAAAUGCGAUAAGUAAUGUGAAUUGCAGAAUUCAGUGAAUCAUCGAAUCUUUGAACGCACAUUGCGCCCUCUGGUAUUCCGGGGGGCAUGCCUGUUCGAGCGUCAUUAUAACCACUCAAGCUCUCGCUUGGUAUUGGGGUUCGCGGUUCCGCGGCCCCUAAAAUCAGUGGCGGUGCCUGUCGGCUCUACGCGUAGUAAUACUCCUCGCGAUUGAGUCCGGUAGGUCUACUUGCCAGCAACCCCCAAUUUUUACAGGUUGACCUCGGAUCAGGUAGGGAUACCCGCUGAACUUAAGCAUAUCAUAAGCGGAGGA